AUUGAACGCUGGCGGCAGGCCUAACACAUGCAAGUCGAGCGGAUGAAGGGAGCUUGCUCCUGGAUUCAGCGGCGGACGGGUGAGUAAUGCCUAGGAAUCUGCCUGGUAGUGGGGGAUAACGUCCGGAAACGGGCGCUAAUACCGCAUACGUCCUGAGGGAGAAAGUGGGGGAUCUUCGGACCUCACGCUAUCAGAUGAGCCUAGGUCGGAUUAGCUAGUUGGUGGGGUAAAGGCCUACCAAGGCGACGAUCCGCAACUGGUCUGAGAGGAUGAUCAGUCACACUGGAACUGAGACACGGGCCAGACUCCUACGGGAGGCAGCAGUGGGGAAUAUUGGACAAUGGGCGAAAGCCUGAUCCAGCCAUGCCGCGUGUGUGAAGAAGGUCUUCGGAUUGUAAAGCACUUUAAGUUGGGAGGAAGGGCAGUAAGUUAAUACCUUGCUGUUUUGACGUUACCAACAGAAUAAGCACCGGCUAACUUCGUG
rnacentral:rRNA from 1 species